rnacentral:sRNA from 1 species
GGAUAGAGCAAAAAAAAUAAGUAAAAAAAAUCAGUGAAUAGGCUGGAAAAGUUAGGUAAAGAAAACUCAAUAAUUAGGGCAGAAAAAUCAGGUAUAGGAGCUCCCAGAAUAGGACAGAAGAAUCAGGUAAGGAAGCUUUCAGGAAGUGGCAAAAAAAAUCGGGUAGAAAAAUGCAGGAUAGGGCAAACAUUCCAGGUGAGUGUGUACAGACUGGUCACCAAGAACAGCGUGGAGGAGGACAUAGUGGAGCGAGCCAAAAGGAAAAUGGUGCUGGAUCAUCUGGUUAUCCAGAGAAUGGACACCACGGCCGGACCGUGCUCACCGGGGCAUUCCUUCCAGAAAAUGAUGAAGAUGAGGAUGAACCACAGGUGGAUAUAGAUGAAAUUCUAAAGCGAGCUGAAACCAGAGAAGUGGAGGAAAAUAAUACAGACAAGUCCUGGGAUUCCAUCAUCCCUGAAGCAGAUAGACGAAAAAUAGAGGAAGAGGAGGAACAGAAACGCUUGUUAGAACUUAACCUCCCUCCACGAUCCAGGAAAUCACUGCAACAGCCUCAGGUUGGUGAUGACUCAGAUGACAAUAGCAGGAGAAAAGGUAAAAGGAAUGUGGAUGAUGAAGACAGCGAAGAAGACGAUGAUGAUGAUGAAGAUGAUGAUGACCAGCCAAGGAAACGUGGUAGACCAAAAAUGUCCAAGACAUCAGUUCGGGGCUUCAAUGACUCUGAAAUCCGACGCUUUAUCAAAAGCUUUAAAAAAUUUGGAAGACCAAUGACAAGAGAGGAUCUCCAGAGGCUGGCAGAAAUACUGAUAAGAAACUGUGAACAAGCCAUAGAGGAGGCCAAGAACAAGACAGAGCAGGACAAUAAUGAAGGAGGUAAGAAAGGUAACAGGGGUCCCUCUUGCAAGAUUUCCAGUGUCUCUGUCAACGCCCAGGCAAUUGUGAAGGCGGGGCAGGAGCUAGAGCCCCUGGCAGCAGCUAUCCCUGCUGAUGCUGAUGAGAGGAAGAGAUACCAGCUACCAUUCAAAGCCAAGGCUGUACACUGGGACUGCAUCUGGGAUGUGGAGGAGGACUCCAACCUUCUGAAGGGCAUCUAUGAGUACGGACUGGCAGCUGGGAGGCCAUUAAAAUGGACCCCACCCUUCAGCUUCAUGAUAAGAUUGGGCAAGCCUAGGAAGAAGAGGAAGGGUAAACCCAAGACGACGGCCGAGAUAAUAGAGAAGGACUUCAUUGAUUCCGAGGAAGAUUCCCAAAAAGAAAAAGACUUUAAGCCUGACAAGAUUCCAGAGGAGGAAGAUACACUUACAAGGGAUUCUGUGGAUAUAAAAAAAAAAAAGAAAAAGGCAGCCAAAAAGUCCAAGCAGAAUGAUGCAAUGCAUUUCACUGCUGGAGCGGUACCUGUUCCAGUAGCUCUGGAAUCCGAGUUCACCGGGGAGCUACCAUCUGAAGUUUUCUCAAAGGAGAUGAUGCGGCCAGUAAAAAGAGCACUAAAACGCUUGGACAACCCCGAUGAGGGAAUGUCAGACAAAGAGCAGCUGGUACACACUCGUCAGUGUCUUCUGAAGAUCGGGGACCGGAUCAAUGAGUGUAUGGUCACUACAACGACCCUGAGGUCAUCAAGCAGUGGCGCAGGUGGUAACAACAAACCACAGUCAUCGGAAAAACAUGGGAACCAUGUGGAAAAGCAUGGGGGGGUAAGAAACACAAACGGCCCCCAGAGUCCGGGAUGGAGGCGAGAAAGCGGCCAAGAAAGCCAGCUUGAGCACCGGCCCAAGGAUCACAAAGGUGAGGCAGGCAGUAAACGCCCGCUCAGUGUAGUCCUCUCUGGCUUAGUAGUUUCUGCCUCUGUAAGUAACGGUCCCCGUCAUAGUGCCAGCACCAACAGCUUAACUCACAAACACAGUGUCCUUGAUUCUAGUCACGACUCCAACUCUAACGAUAGGUAUAGAACAGUUCCAGUGCGUAUGGGCGUUCGCAGCAUUAUCCAGAGAGGAAUUACCAUGGCAAUGACCCCAGGUUCAACAAUGAUCGGCGAGAGUAUUCUUCCAGUCAUGCAUAUCAUCGCGAUCGAGGUGAUCAUUCCAUCAAGUUACCAUUCUCAUCACGAUCACCACGGUAACUACCGAUCAGUCACCGUGGUGACCGGCGUCCUGACUAUGGACAGUACGGUCACCGCGACUAUGGCAGCAACCGUCCCGAUAGUAGUAGACAGGAAGCGUAAAGGGGACCCAAUCACGACCGGAGAUCUCAGAAAGACCCUCGACUCCAUGAGGACACCAGCCGGUAGUAACUCCUGUUGGGUCCCACCUCCCUCAUCAGUCACCCCCCAACAUUACAGGGCAGGGUCUCCCGUUCAUCUCCCGGGGUCAGUCUGCCGUCACCCUCCUCACCACAGCCAGAGCGGGCAUUGUGAACACCCCAAUCUGGACUGAUUUCUCAAACCACACUGCCUCAUCUCACAAGAUCAGUGUGUUUUAGUGAUGAAAGACACAUUCUGGUAAAUGUGAUGGACUAAUUCACAGCUGACAUCUAGGACCUGUGAUCUGUACCAACAGAAAAGUGCUUGUUUUAUUAGUGUGUCCUUGU